CAGGAUUAUACGGAUUGCAAUCCAGAGCUUUUUCGAUCGUCAGCAAACCUUUGUCGUAACAACCAUGCAUGCACCAUAGGAUAGUGAUGGAGAGCAUUCAAGAUAGAAAGAACAAAAAAAAUUCAGAGGAUUCGUAGAUUCUUUAUUGAUUCGGCAACUGUUAUAACUUAUUAUUAGUAUAUAAAAACUAAAUAUUAUGCAUUCUACUUCCUGGCGAAAGUGUGAGCGGAUAAGAAGCGGACAAGAAAUGUCUAUGCGAACUAUGAAUUGGCUGGAUUAAACACUAUUGAGUGGAUAGUUUACGGAUGGGAAGUGGACGUAUAACUACGCCGUUUAAGGAUGUUCGUUAUUUGCUCUCGUCACGUCAACGCAUCCACCUCAUUUUCUCCAGGAUUUGUUCUAUGUUUAGUCGUAUAAUUUAUUUUAAAGCAGUUUACCAAAAAAAUCUUUGAUAAUGCGAAGUAGUAUAAAAGGUUCUAAAAACCUGUAUCUUAUUCGAAUAACAAUAACUGAAUUCUAAUUCUAUUCAAGAGUUUAUAGUGUACCUUGGCUCAUAUAUAUAUCGCCUCUCAAAGCAUAAAACUGGUGAAACUUCGGAUUGAAAUAUAGCCCCUUGUGAGUUCAUGUCGCAAUGUCUGUGCCAGAGCAGUGAUAGCUCUCUUUGAGGCUGGAUAGACAGAAAAUCCAGGUAUGAAAGGCACCCG
rnacentral:lncRNA from 1 species